GAAUCUUCCAUUAGCCUUCAGAUGAAGAUGUAGAACUCUCUGCUCCUGCUGGAAACUGCCAUGCUCUUGCCUUGACGAUAAUGAACUGAGCCUCUGAACCUGUAAGCAACUCUAAGCUUCAAGAGACCUUGUACAUAUCCUUUUUCCAACUUGAGACCCCAUCCUUGCCAUUAGAAUAAACUAGAACACUGUCUGCUAGAGGAUUCAAGUAGCUAUAUGCAACUUUUCCGUGCUAUAUACAUAUGGAUGAGUCCAGCCAAGGAUAAGCCCGUAAUCAAAUGCUCCAUACCAUCUGUUUGAGAGUUUUUUGAGACUGGGAUCACUGUCUGGAACCACAGGCCGCCCUCUGAAGGCUGGAGAGGUGGUGACAGCUGAACAAAUGAUGGCGCUACGAGUCCAUGGGUUAGGUUACCUGGGCAUGGGAAUCCCCAUAUAGCCAAUGCCUUCUCGGGUAUUAAGUGUCAGAUAAACACAGCUCCUCAACUGC
rnacentral:lncRNA from 1 species